rnacentral:misc_RNA from 1 species
GUAGGUGAACCUGCGGAGGGAUCAUUACCGAGUGAGGGGCGUAACCCGCCCCGACCUCUCAACCCCAUGUUGCCCGACACUGUUGCCUCGGGGGCGACCCGGCCCUCUGGGCGCUGGGGCCCCCGGUGGACCGUCAAACGCUUGCAUCUGUGCGUCCGAGUCAGAUGAUGAAUCAAUCAAAACUUUCAACAACGGAUCUCUUGGUUCUG